UCCUUACCAACCGUGUCGUAUUAACGUAAAAACGUGCGAUUUUAUUUGUGCUUCUUAUAUGAACGUGAAUUUCUAAGAACGUUUAUCUCUUCUCUAAAGUAAAAAUUGAAAAUGAGAUAAAAGUUUAUUUGCAUCGUGAAGUAAAUAAGUUAUUUGGUUAGUAAGUAAUUCGUUGCAUCCAAGGCAAGAUCGAUUUUCAUCUUUAUUCCACGUUUCAUGUUUUAUCGUAUGAACUCUACUCGAGUAUUUAAAUCAUCAUCACCAUUAUAUUUUCAAUCUCUGUUCUCAAGAAAGAUGAAAAUGAAUCGAGUAAUAAUUCUCGUUGCUGAUGAUACGCGUUAUUUGAAAUCUUUGCGCAAAGUACAUUGAACACGAUGCGCAUUUCAAACAAAGACGAGUGUCAUCCUUGUUCCAACAUUGCACAUAAAAUUUCCUCGAUGCGACACGUGCUGCGUUUUUCUCGGCUUACGUUAAACAUUGUGUCGAACAUGUGUGUCAGGAGUUAAGGGACGAAAAAAAGAAACGAAAACGGCAAAAAAGUUGAAUUUCAUUUUAGGAUUAAUGACUUCGUUUAAACAAGAAAAACAUAAAUGGAAAAACAUAAAAAAUCAUCAUCGAGCAGCGAAGGAAGCUUAAUUUUAUCGUGAUGUAUAAUAUAAUGUUUUAAAAUUUUUGUCGAUAUUAUAAAAUUUUGCGUGCCAUUUUUUUUCUAAUUUGAAUGUUUCAAAAAAUUUGAUUUUAUAAUUCAAGAAGAAAUGGCAUACGAAAUUUUUUUUUUUAGAAUUUUAAGAUUGAAAACUUUCAAGGUUUCAAAUUAAAAUUCUCAGUCAAUUUCGUGAUUUUGUAUCAAGAAAAUAUGAUCCAAGAAAAUACGACACAUGAAAUUAUUUUGAUAUUUUUAAGAACAAAAAUUUUAAAUCAAAUUUUAUAUAUAUACACUUACAUGUAGAAUAUUUAUCAUUUGUAUACUUACGUCUUACAACUCCUAUUUUUUGCAAUGUUUAAUAAUUUUUUAAUAAUUUUAAAUUUUACUACUCAUCAAAAUGAAACAAGAUAUGUUAGCUGAUAAAGUUUAUUCUAAGUAAUUGAAAGUAUCGAAAGUAGCUAAAAACAUAAUAUAGAAGAUAUAAUUUUAACCAGUGUACAUAUACAGGAUGUAAGAAUAUAGAUUUUUAAUUUUAACAUACUUUUUAAAAUCACGAAAAUCUUUAAUAAAACGAUUGAAAAAUUAUAUAUAAAAUUUACAUAACUUGAAUCAUUAGCUAAAAUUCAAAGAUUUAUUUUAACUUAAUUUUAAAUUGAAAAUACAAUGUCAACUUAUUAUAAUUAACAUAUGUAAUGUAUAAUUAAUCAUUUAUCUUACUAUAAAUAUCUUUCCUUAAUUAGACUGUAACAAACAUGCUCCGAGCAAAGUACUUUUUAUGUUCAUCAAUAAUCGUGACAGUGUUCCAAAACAACGUAACUGAAAAUAGCAAGAGGCUAUUCGGUUCAUUGGAUCAAAGUGUAGUACAAAAUUAUCGUACUAAUUUCAGUCCAUCUAAUCAACAUUAUAAUUUAAUCAGGUUUUAUUUUUAAAGAAAUAUUUCUUCAUAUUCCAAUUUCAAUGUAAUUUCGAAAUUUUAAUAAUUAUGCAAUUACAGGAACGUGAUGAGCAUUAAAUCUAAAUUAAAAAAUAAAUAAAAUUCGACAAAUUUUAACCUCAUAGUUCGUAAAUUUGUCUCGUUGAAUUUUGAGUAAUUUUACACAUUUUUAAAAUCGACCAUAAAAUCGUACGCGAUAAUUUAAUAAUAUAACGCUUUCCUUUUCCUAAAGGAAAAAAAGUUACGUUCUCCGUGUUAUAAAAGACAUUACCCAGACCGAAACCAUCGUUUACCUAAUUGUAAACGGAAACACAUUUCUCCCGGUCGUACAAAUGCACUUGUUGUUGUGUAAAAGCUUUAUUUAUAGCAUUAUUCCGACUACGAGACAUAAUUCGAUUUCACAUUAUAUAAUUACAUCUCGGAAUUACGCAAAUCGAUCGCAUCGCGGCCGUGUAUGUCAUUCCUCUACCGUUUUCCGGAAUUACACGGAGUAAAAAGUAACACAUGCAUCGAUCAUCAACAUGGUUGUAUCGUAUACGCAAUUAUGGCGGAAUUGCAUAAUCGUCGCUAAUGAUAAAUUUCAUUUAUACGAAGGAUGAGACUCGACAAUAAUGAAGAACACGCGAUACUAACUGCAUCGCACUUUAUUUCUCUAUGUCUAAGUUUAACGAUUCGUUUACGAAAUGCUUGUGGUUUUUGACACCACGAUUCUUAUGUUUAUUCUAAGACAAUAUGCAAAUUAAUGAUUUUUUUCACACGUAAAUAAAACGGAUAAAUUGGACACGUACAUGGAGGAAAAAAGAUUCGUUGUCAAUAUUUGCAAUAACUGCACAUAACAUGUUAAAGUACAUAGUUAUCGUACGUUUAGCAUGCGAAUAUAAAUAACAGUGCGAAUAUACAUAUAUGUAAAUAUAUCGGUGCAACGCAUGUGAAACAAUCGCGCGACAAAAUUAUCGGAUAACAAAAAAUAUUCAGGCUUCGAUGAAUAAUAAACGAUGAUAUUUUAUUUACCACAUUUUAUUACACUUUUUUACAUUGUAAUAAAAAUGCCAAACAUAAUUGUCAUUUUAUUUUCUCGUUAUUUGAUAUUCGAAAAUUUUUUCUUUAGUCAAAUUCGUUUCCCAUAUCUAUCUCAAAUUUGAUGAAUCAUUUAUAGAAACAAUACGUUAAAGUUAUAGUUACGUAAGAAUAUGUAUUUAAAUCCCAUUGUAUUAGACGCGGGGCGAUAUUCACGUUAAGGAAAUUUCACGGUUAAUCACGUCACAAGUAAUUUCUCUAAUGAAAGGAACGUCAUUGUCGAGUGAUUAUCGUAUAACCACGUAUCGUUAUCGAUGUAAUAUCCAGCAACGCUUUAUCCGUUAAUGAUAUUACUUCGCUUUGACAUUUCCCGUCAAUUUAUGAACUAUUUACGCGAUGUCCCGUACCGAAAUGUGACGACAAUAUUGAUAUAACACGAUAGAAAAUUUUGAUCGCACUCGAUCGCAGCGCAAUAUCGAAAACUUGGAUUAUCGUCGAAGCGAACAACGAAAGUGUUUUUCAGAAAACUGGCUAAAACUUAUGAAAUAUAUAUUAUAUAAUUUGAAAAAUCAUAUACCUAAUCGACAUUAUCGGUUAAUACGAUUUUCGAUAUAAAUAUAAUAGGAAGUGUUGUGAAAAAAAAUUUCUAGAAUUUAUAACAUUUCGUAAUAUUUCGAAAAAAAAAAAAAAUAAUAAAUAAUUGCGAUAUAAAAGCGAUCAAUUUCGAUUUUGCGUAUUAACAAUUUUUCGUUUCAAGAUUGAAAAAAUCUAUGUAAUUGAUGAGAUGUUAAAAAAAAAAAAUUAGCGAAAAUAUUAUUUUUCAUUCUUCUUAAAUAAACUUGAACUUUACCUUAUGGAGAUGUAUAACAUUGAUUAAACGAACCAAGUGGUAUUAAAAUAAAAAAUUUGUACAAGAACAAACUAUAUAUAUAUCAUAAUUACGUCGACGAAUAACACUAUUUUGCAGUUCGAUAACAUUAUGUAUUUUUUAUCCAAAAAAUCAAUGACAAUGUCCUUGGCUUAAUCGACAGACGAGUGUGGUUCAUAAUAUGUUACACGAUAUUUUUCUCCACACGCUUUACCGUAAAUGAUGUAACACGCAAGUAAAUUAUCUGAAACAAUUUUCUGCAUCGUUUCUUGCACGAGCGUAAUCACGUUGAACAUGUUAUAAGCGAGAACCUCGUGUACCUGCACGUGGUUGACAUUUUCCGGCAUGUGACUCGAUUUCCCUCCUUCUUCUUUAUUUCAUGCACCGCUUGCACAUCGUCGACGAUGCACACCUGUGUAACCAUAUCUACGAGCAAGCAUCUCCUCGUCACCUGUACUUAUACCACUUGUAAAUAAACGAUAAUAUGGUCGCGUAACGAUGCGUCAUUGACGUCGAUUCAUUUCCAAAUCGAAAGUUUAGAAUUUUAUUUUUAAACUUUCAAACUUUCCUUUCCAAAUCUUCAAAUGGAAACUUUGUUCUUUUUUUUUUUUUUUUUUUUUUUUCAAAAUUUUCGAAUAAAAUUUUAUUCCAAAUUACAUUUACGACAAAAUCGGAUAGUUUACGUUAAAAAAGAAAUAAUUGACUCGUAAAAGAGCAAUUUCAAACUUUUGAAUUUCGAAAUUGCAAUACGGUUGAUAUUAAUACGAUCGAAAAAUGAAUCAAAGAAACUGAAAUAUCUUGAAUAUUCUUGACAAUUCUAAAUAAAAAAUCGGAUGAAUCAGAAAAGCAUAAUUAGUAAUAUUAAAUUUUUUGCACCUUGGACGAUAAUAUUUCGAAAUUGACUCGGAGCCAAAGUCGAAAAUAAUUUUGAAUCGAUAUGGAAAUUAAUAGAAAAAAAUUAAAACAGUUACGAUGAAAAAAUUAAUUGCAAUUUUUAGAGAAUACGAUGUUAUAAAAGGAAGAAUUUUUAUAUCGUAAAUUAAUCUAAUUUAUUAAUCCAUCCGAUUUUCAUACUCGUGCUCGCUUCAAAUUAAUACAGUUCACGUGUCGCCAAGUAAAUUACGCAACGAUUAUUUUAUAUCAAAACUGCAUGAUAACUGCAAAAUGUUCCGUGAAUUCCACUAUCUGAACUUGAUUCGCCGCUACGAGACACGUGCGACGAGAUAUUUAUUUCCUUUUUUCCAACCAAUGAAUUAUACUGGCAUUCAUCUUGCGCGCGCAAUAACACGAAGCUGUGAUUUCGUAAGCCGAGAUUUACGAGUUACUCUCCAUUAAUAGCGGCUACAAUUAUACGGAUCCGCCCAUUGGAACAAGAAUAUCCGCGAACUACGCUCGACAAACCGAAUCGUACGUGUCACGUAAUGCGUUUUAAUGCACACCAAGUAAUUUCGAUUGUCCUAUUACCAUCUCGAUAACCGGGCGAUUAACAAAGGAAAAGGAAGUCCGAAAAAGGAGGUCGAAUAAGAUGGAAUCCUCGGCUACGACGAACGGUACGCUUCCUUGUUUGUCUUGGGAAAAUGGAGUGGAGCGGUUGGAGUAAACGGUUUCUGCGUAUAAGUGGGCCUUGAUGGAUAUAAGAACGUUGUAACAACUUUGGCAGUGAGCGUGUUCCGUGUUUGGAUCAUGUCGUCAAAAUCAAAAUCGAUCGAAACGUUCGAAAAGAGGAUACGGGAGCAAUAUUUGUUUCGAAAGAUAUUUAGAUCGAAAUAAUUAAAAAUAAACAUUCGUUAUUUACUAAACGCGCCCAACGAUCGAGUCAAUUUUUCCAUUUUCGUUUCGAUUCGCGUGCUCCUAUAUAAAAAGAUUUGGAUUGGGGAGGGCUGGUUGACGAAUCGAUCAUCGAAAUUACGCACGAUCGUAAUUACAACGAGGAUUUCAAUCGGUACGAAAUCCGGGUCACAAAAGAUCCGACAACAAUUUAAAUACUCGUAGUUCACAACGUCCUUCAUCGACCUUACUACCCACCACUUUAGUUGGCUCUGCCCGUACGUGCUGUCACUUUCACAUAUGGUUGCACCCACACUAUUGGCUGCCUCGUGUUCACGUGCGUCAGCUAUCCGGUCGGGGGACGACCUGUUUUCUCUCUUUAUAUGCCGACGAUUCUUCGCGAUCCUGACCAUUUUAUAAAUGUAUCGAAUUAUUCAUCUUCCGAUGUCGCACGAUGGAAAUUUUAGGAGAAUGAUCUCGAUUCAUCUUCCACAAAGAAAAUAAACGAUAUUUACAAUUUACAAAUAGUGACAUCAAGUGUAUAAAUUUUUCUCUCAACUCUAACAUUCUCAAUUACAAAAUACUCGUUACAAUGCAAAUAAAUUCGUAAAUUUGGCAAUGGUUAAAUAAAUAGUUACCUUACGUUUUCCAACAAACUGUGAACGACGUGAAUCCGUAAAUAAAGAAAACGAUGAAUAAUA